UACGUAGGUGGCAAGCGUUGUUCGGAAUUAUUGGGCGUAAAGGGCGCGUAGGCGGCUUGUUAAGUCGGUUGUGAAAGCCCGGGGCUCAACCCCGGAAAGUCGACCGAUACUGGCAGGCUAGAGUACGGAAGAGGUAGCUGGAAUUCCCGGUGUAGCGGUGAAAUGCGUAGAUGUCUGGAGGAACACCGGUGGCGAAGGCGGCAUCCUGGACCGGUAUUGACGCUGAGGCGCGAAAGCCAGGGGAGCAAACGGG
rnacentral:rRNA from 1 species